UACGGGGGGGGCAAGCGUUGUUCGGAAUUACUGGGCGUAAAGGGCUCGUAGGCGGCCAACUAAGUCGGAUGUGAAAUCCCCAAGCUUAACUUGGGAACUGCGUCUGAUACUGGAAGACUUGAGUGCGGGAGAGGGAUGUGGAAUUCCAGGUGUAGCGGUGAAAUGCGUAGAUAUCUGGAGGAACACCGGUGGCGAAGGCGGCAUCCUGGACCGACACUGACGCUGAGGCGCGAAAGCCAGGGGAGCAAACGGG
rnacentral:rRNA from 1 species